rnacentral:lncRNA from 10 species
UAGGUCUCCUUCCCUGUUAAAUGGGCAAUACCUUACAUGAAAGUUUGGGAACCAAGGUCACAGAUCGUGAAAUGAAGUUAAACUAGGCUGCUAGAGUUGCCACCUUGGCUCUGUGCAAAGAUCAAAGGCUCUCUUUGGUGAGAAAAAGCCACCCUCAUUGUGCCUGCCAACAUUUUACAUCUGGAUCUACAUAUUAUCUGCUGAUUUUAUAAACUACUUCCUUCCCAGAAAUCCAAACUAGCCUUGUUUUAUAGAUGUGGAACUGCAGUCUCCUAGUUUCUGGAUGAGCUUACACUGGGCCCUUUGGGCUUCUGUCUUCCCACUAGGCCAUGCUAUGGAGAUUGCACAAUGGACCUAUUGCUUCAAAGGAGAGUCACACAACACUCCCCAGCCACUGUGUUGACAGCCCUGGGCUGGAGGAAAGGCAGCAGUCUUCACAGAGCUCACUUUACGGCUGGGCUCACCCUUCACCCCAAGACAGCUUUGAUCACUGGGAAGUUUCCACAAACACAGAAUGAAUGAGGAAGAAGGUGAUUAUAUUUUCGGUGUGAUCCACGUGGACGAGAGGUGUUGCAUGUUUUUACAAAUUGAAGAUCUGUGACAACCCUGGGUCAAGCAAGUCUAUCAGUGCCAUUCUUCCAACAGUGUAUAUGCUGGAGCAGCUGUACUUAAGUCCAGAAAUAAGAAGAUAUUUGAUCUGAGGACUCAGGAGAGAGCAUGGCUGCUGCAUAGAUGGUGCCUUCCAUCGCUUGACAUAGGGAAGCCCAGCCAAAGCCUGUGUCUUGGGCAGCCGGGGAGCUCUCAGGAUGGCUUGAAAUCUCCCACAUGGCCUGGGCCUGUUCUCCUUCCCCUCCAGCUCUCCUGGGUGCAGUCAAAGCUUCACUCCCUACACCCUACUGAACUAUCAGCUGACUGAUUCCCACUUGUCCAUGCCCCAGGACCCCACAGAAGCUCCACAUGCUUCCACAAGCUGAUGCACCAGUUCCAAGAGGAGGAAGAAAAGCUGGCACUCAGCCUUUAUUUCUCCCCAAACACCACAGUCAUUCAAUUCUGAAAAAAAAAAAAAAAAAAAAACCCAUUGCUUUGAAAAACAUAAAAUGAGAUCUAUCAAACAGCAUCUUGUAUUUUAAAGUGGAAAGAAUGGACUUUGGAAUCAUCUUUGGCAGCUAAUAGGCUGGGACACGCAGAGAAAGAGCUUGCCUGCCUCUGCAGACAUUCCUUGGACGAGUGGUUCUAAAUCCCAGCUACACACUCAAAUAGCUGCAGGAGGUUUAAAAACUGUCAAAUCUCCCAGCCCCUGCCCAGCCCAGUCAAUAUUUAUCUCAGGAGGAGGAGCCCUAAAACCAGUGUCUUUUCACAGAGCUCCCUACAUGACUUUGAUGUGUGGCCAGGUGAUAUCUCCUGAGUUCGGAGACACUGAUGCUAUCACUCACACCUAGUCAAAUGAGAGGAGUCGGGGAUGACAGAAGAAUGCAGGCAACUUACCUACCUGAAGCUGGGGCCUCAAGGUCACCAUGCCCUUGAGUGAGCCCUGUAUGGGUCUACCUUGUGUCUGAUGGUUCUCAGCAGGCACAGCUUCUCUUCAGGGCUUCUGCCGACAUCUUCCCUGCAUGUGGAAAAUGGCCUGGGGUCCCCUUAGACUCAGCUCAUGUCCUCCCCUUUGCUCAGGUUCCCUCUGAGUCCCGGUACCCGCCCAUGCUGCAGACCUCCUCAUGACUCCUUCCUCCCUGAGGCCUGGCCAUCUGCACACCCCCAUCCUAUCCUGUCAGCUUGUUUUUUGUCUCUUUGGUGACCAGACAUGAACCCCUCAAGGCUGUUCCCUCCACAUCCCCAGCGCUCAGUUUCAGGCCAGCCCAGGGCAGGAUGCACCUCGUGCAGACCAAGGGAAAGAGCCAGCAGCUGCUUCACAUGAGCCUGUCCUCUGCACCUGAAGAGAAUCUUUGGAAGGCCAGCGCCCCCACUUGUCCUGAAGGUGGAGGGGCUGUUCCCUCUAGCCCACACCUGUCAUUCUAGGACUAACUUUCACUUUUUGGAAGCCAGAGCCACUCCCGACCAUUCAGGGCCUUUCAGCAUUCGGAAGGGACAGUGACUCCUCCUUAGAUACCACAUGUAGGACAGGAGGGAAGUUCAAGAGUGGUGUCAAGGGCCAGAGACAGGGAAGCUGGAGGCAGCCAGGGAGGAAUGUGGGCACUGGUUUUCUGACUCCCUGCCCGCUGCAUUCUCUGCAGCAGGCCCAGUUCCCGCCCAGCCCCCAUGCUGCACAAGGUUCUGAGAAUCACUCCUGCCCCCACUCCAUCAGGUCCCACUUAAGGUAGCUCCACUGGCUUAGAGGACCACCCCACCCCAGGGGCUUCACCUAAACCAGUCACACUUUGUAGACAGUCCCCUCAUUGAACUCUGAUCAAAUUACCCAAUUUAAAUAUACCAUCUGUUUCCCGCAGGGACUCUGACUGACCCAGUGACCUAGUCUAGGAGGUUAGGGAGUCUUCUGAGAAAAGGAUGCUUGAGCUGAACUCUGAAGGAUUAAAUUCUCACUGCUUUUAAUAGUAGGAUCCAACAUGUGUGUUUAGUCAGUAGUGGGGGUCCUGGUAAGCUUGAGCCUGCAGUGAGGGGUGCUGCAGGGGACACAGGCGAACCCAUGAAGCCCCUCACCCCACCUCUUAGCCAUGCCUGGCCAGGGAGGGCAUCCCUAGACCCAGGCUCAGCUAUAAGAAAGAGCAAGAACCAACAAACAUUUCUUAAGCACCACUCCGGGGCCAGGCCGUGUGCUGGGCCUGAACGCUUCUCAUAGGUGACGUGGAGACCUGGGGGUGGCUGCCAUCUGGUGCUCUGGGUUUUGAGGGGUGCUCUCUGAAAGACCAAGCUGAGCAGCAGGAGGCCCAGAAAUGGGGGCUCCCAUUAGACAUUGUGGCCAGUCUCACAGCACAGCCAGAAGGGCCAGCACUGCAGGGAGGGGAGCAGAGGGGAGGAUGUGCUCUUUGGCCAGGCGAAAGCCUGGUCCCCAGGACUGAGGUCCUAGAGAAUCAGGGAUGCAGGAGAAUGAUGAAGAGAGAGGUCUCAAGGCCAAAGACAAUAAGGUGAACUGUCAGAAAGUCUGGGAGAAAGAUGAUUUGAGGGUGACCCGAGAGGCUUGCUGUCAAAUGUCCCAAGAUCGGACAGUCGAGCAAGGCAGCAUGAUGGAAGGAAUCUAGCCCUGUCCAUCCACAUAAGCCCAAUUGCAAGUGCACUGUUGGAGUCAUGAAAAAUGUAAUGUCUAGUUCUGGUGUGAGCAGGGCCACUCUCUUCCAAAGAUACUCCCAUGGGAACAGAAAAAAAGGGUAGAAGCCCGAAGAGCCAUAAAAGGCAGCAAGGUCAGGAAGCCACCAGAAUGUCAGUGAGAUGUUUAAUUUUGAAAAUCAAUUAAUGUAAUGUGUCAUAUCAACAGAUCGAAGGGAGAAAGUCCAUGCUCAGGUUUAUAGAUGCAAAGAUCUGUUUGAUAAAAUUCAACAUCCACUCAUGACUUAAUAAAGAAACAAAACCUAUGGCAAAUCACAUGUAAAAGUGUUUAAGAUAUUCCCUUUAAUAUCAGAAAAGUGGCAAGAAUGCCUUCUUUUAUCUUUUCAAUGCUGUAAUGCAUUAAAGGGCUUAGGCAGUGCAAUAAGAAGAAAAAAGAAAUAAAAGAGAGAUUGGAAAGCAAUAAUCAAAGCUGUCAUUAUUUGAGGCAGAUAGAUAAUUGAAAGUACCUCUGAUUGGUUGCAGCAGACAAUCAGAUGUUUGCAUAGAGUAAGUUUGUAACUUCAGCCUCUGGUUGCUUUCCAAAACAAUUAGACUGAUUGCCGGCCACCACUUCAUUUACAUGGGGUGAACACCAAGUGGCCAAUGGGAAACCUCUAGGGGAUAUUUGGACCCCGGAAGAUACUGUAACCGAGGCCCUUGAGCUGCUGCUCUGGCCCACUCCCACCCUGUGGCAUGUACUUUCAUUUUCAAUAAAUUUCUACUUUUGCUGCUUCAGUCUUUCCUUGCUUUGCUGUGUGUUUUGUUCAAUUCUUUGUUCAAAACACCAAGAACCUAGACAACUUGCAGUCGAUACCCUCUACAGUUAACAAGCUGGGGAAUGCUCCUUCCAGGGUCCCAAGGUCCUUGCCUGGCUGAGCUUCUGGUGGCUGCCAGCAUUCCUCGGCUUGUGGCCGCAUCACUCCAUUCUCCAUCUCCAUGGUCACAUCACUUCUUUUCUGUCUGUUUUCAGCCUCCCUCUGCCUCUCUUAUAAAGACAUUUGUGAUGCAUUUAGGGCAUACCUGGUUACUACAGGAUAAUCCCCCUUAUCAAACUCCUUAACCUAAUCACAUCUGGAAUACAUUGUUUUUGCCUAGAAAUUCAUAUUCACAGGUUGCAGGGGUUAGGACCUUCUCAGGCACCAAAUGAUAAGAAAUCAUCUUUCUGAGUAACCCACAUGGAGUGGCCGCUGGGUCCUAGAGGCGCCGUUGGCCUGACAGCAGAACUCAGGGACUCUUAAUGCCCUUGCAAAAUGAAUGCAUUUGCAUGUGGGAAGGUCUCUUGGAGUCUGCCUUAGCUCCUCUCACACAAGGUAGCAGACCUGGCCACCUUCCUCACUUGGACAGAGAGCCCUGGGGAGCUCUCAAAAAGUAGCCAGGCCCUAGAUCAAUUCAGUCAGGACCAGUGGGGGUGGGGUCCCUGCACCAAUAGGUUGUUUAACCUUCCCAGGUGAUUCUGCUGUUCAGGCAGGGCUGGGAACCAUGAACCAGGUGGACAUUAAUGUCCCUUGCAGGUGAGACAUUUGACAAAUAAGCAGAAAUGGAGCCAGGGUCUCCACUCUGGCUCCACAUCAGCAUCCCCCAGGGUAGGGACAUUGAAAAGACAGGUUUCUGCUCCCUCCCCAAGGCAGGUGAUCUAAUUGGUCUGGGUGUGACCUGGACAUCAGGACCUUCAAAUUUUCCCAGUGAUUUCCACGUGCACCCAGGUUGAGAACGCUGCGGCCCAUAAAAGGGAGCCUUACACUGUCACUGCUAUUGCAAAGGACAAUUAUCAGACCUGGGGAGACCUUCCUGAUUCUGAGUUUCCAAACCACAGAACAGCUUGUUCAGGGAGACUGUGGAAGUCAUUUCUCUAGAAAUCUUGACUGAUUCAGGAGGUUUCUAGCUGUCAGAGGAUUUAGCUAUGGUUCUGCUGUAUGAAGGUGGAGGCAUGGAUUAGGUGAUUUUCAAAAUACCCUACAACUUCUUGAGUUUAUGAAAAGUGAUAUCAUGCCUCCCCUUGAUAGAUUCCUUCACCAUUUAGACAAAGAAUAUAAAAAGAAUUAAAAUAACCCAAUGAAUUCAGGAUUGUGGAAAAUGUCAUUACUGGUAAUGAAAAUUACAGGAAGUCUUGCUGGCGCUUGCUCCCUCCCCAAAACUAACAUGAGAACAUGUUUUUUCUUCUGAUGCAAUAAUUAAGUUUGCCCAAGAAAAUGUCUCUGUGCGCACCUCAGGGCAGGGGCUAAAUGAAGCCUUUAACUAAACGAUAAAUGUGAUCGUCUCCAUGGACUGAACCCUGCCAGGGCAGACUGGCUUCCCAAGUGGAUUAAUUAACUCUUAGCAGCCCUGUGCUGGGAGGCUCUACAGAAGGGAUUUGAGAUUCCUGAGGCCCAGAAAGAUGACUUUAUUAAGAAAUGGAAGACAUUUGGGGUGACUUCUGUAGCUGGUGGCAGCCACAGUUCUAGGAUCAGAGCCUAGAAGUCAAGACCUCAAGAUGGAAAUAACAGUUCAAAGGCAGUCUCAUCAGAUAGCACUGGGAGGAAGACACAGAUUGGUUCAGCACUGAGCACAGACGAUGUGUCUACCCUGUGUGUCUCCCUGCUCUCAGGAGGUCGUGCUGUAGUGGAGGACAGAUCUCAAUGCAGGAGUCUCCCAGCUGGGUGGGGAUGGGUGUGCUCAGAGCACUGACCCAGACUGGGGCUGGGAUGGGUGGCAUCUGGCUGGAGAGCUGAAGACUGGGAGGAAGUAAAACAGGGCUCGGAGCCAGGAAGUGGAUGCACAGGCCACAGUAGAAGCAGAUCAUUUACUCAGUUGCAGAACACGCAAUGAAGGUUUAGCCUCACUAGCAAUCAAUGAAACAAAAAAUUAAAAGCCUCUUGCAGAGUCAUUUUUCUCCUCUGGAAGAAUACUCAAGGGAUGAGCGGGGUGUAAUGAACUGGUUCUCCCUGUCUUGAGGGUGAAAGUGUGAACCAUCAUGAACCUUCCAAAAAAUAAUUUGGCAUUCUGUGUCAGGCCCAGAUGUAUCUUGCAACUAAUUAUUUUCACUCAUGAGAAUUUAUUCCAAGAAGCAAUCCACCUUCCAAAGGCUUUAUGCCCUGCACUGCUAUUUAUAAGAGUUGUCAGCAGAAGCCAAACCCUUCUCCUGCCAGCACAUAGAAAUAACCUUUAUGCCCCCAGCUAGGUGUACAUGUAUUCCAUAUAAGGGAUAUUAUUAGGCUAUGAAUAUAAAAUGUAUGAAGACAUAAAAAAUGCCAAUGAUACAAAAAUAUUAAAUGUGACAUGCAACAUAAAAACUAUAUUUAU